rnacentral:lncRNA from 1 species
UAGCUGCAAAAAUACCUCUAGGUGUUCCGGACACUAUGUGCCUAUAGCUGGCUACAGGAUCACAGCAGCCAAAAGCCCUCCAGGAAGAAGUAUGGAAGCAGCUUUAUUGAGGUUGCCAGCAAGGAUUACGGCUUCUUUGACGCAUGAACGUUUUGGAAUUUAUGAGGAUUUUAAUGAGGAUUUUCUGAAAAAAAUAAAAAUUGUUAUGUUCUGGGCAUUCAUCUAUCCUCUCAUCAGCUUUUGAUCUACCACAUCUUGGUUGUUACCUUAGAAUUUUGCAACAUAAAUUUACAAUUAAUCCAAACCUGCUUUCAAAUAACACCAUAUCACCACGUAGCUAAACUUUACCUCAGAUACUGCUGAUAUUUACUGAUACAAUUGGCUCUGGGUCGAACUUGAAGCUGCAGCAGAAGAAGAUAUGGAAAAACUAAAAUCUUCCUCAAGCAAAUAUUAGAGUAAUUGUCAUUAUCUCACCAUGCUCUUUUCCUGGUUAUAAAUAUGCUAGAAAACAUUCUUACUGUAAUUUUAAUAAAGUAUUUCUCUAUGUUUU